AUUUUAACCAGUUUUCUGUGUGGCCAAGCCCACUCUGCAAUGCAUGCUUCUAGCUACACUCCAGUGUGUUAAAAUUACAGAGCAGCCAAAUCACCUGUGUUUGUUUAGACUCAUAUUUACUGCAAAUGAUUCUUAGGGAAUGAAUCUAUCCACACUACAUUGUAGUAGGUGUAGACUUCACACUGAUGAGAUCAGAAAUCUGUGUUUAAAAAAACAGCUUUCCAAGGCAGUUAAGUAGUAAUUUCCACUCUUUCUUUCCCUAAUCUCCUAUAGGCUCUCAGCAGCUGUGGAGCUCCACUGAGGUAUACAGGGAGAGCCAGCUCAUCUGAGUGAUAAAUAUUGCAGAGCAACAGCAGAGAGGAGGAAGAUAAUCCAAAUGCCUUCUGUGGACAGCCCUGGAAGGAUGAGGAAGAAGCUUCCCAUUUCUAAGCCCAGGGAGAGGUCACUUCUGAGGACUAAGCGGGAAGUUGCAUCUAGAAGCCGGAACUUACAACACCAGCUUCCUUGGGAGUAUUUUGAUGCUUUCACUGCCUGUCAAAAUCAGGAAGUAUAAAAUGCAGAGAAAACUUACUUAAAGAUAAAAAGUUCUUUUUACAAAAAUAUGUCUUACAACCAGAUAUCUGAUGGAGUUGGGAACAGGUUAUUCCUUUGUCUACUACUCUAAAUUUAAGUGUAAGUGUCCUGUGGCACAGUUGUGAUGAUGUUGAUGCCUGUAAAUGUUCUGAUUGCAUUGGGGGGUGAUCACAGAAUCACAGAGUCAUUUGAGUUGGGAGGGACCCUUGAAGGUCAGUCAGGUCUAACUCCUCUGCAGUGAGCAGGCA
rnacentral:lncRNA from 1 species